rnacentral:rRNA from 1 species
GACGAACGCUGGCGGCGUGCUUAACACAUGCAAGUCGAACGGAAAGGCCCUGCUUUUGUGGGGUGCUCGAGUGGCGAACGGGUGAGUAACACGUGAGUAACCUGCCCUUGACUUUGGGAUAACUUCAGGAAACUGGGGCUAAUACCGGAUAGGAGCUCCUGCUGCAUGGUGGGGGUUGGAAAGUUUCGGCGGUUGGGGAUGGACUCGCGGCUUAUCAGCUUGUUGGUGGGGUAGUGGCUUACCAAGGCUUUGACGGGUAGCCGGCCUGAGAGGGUGACCGGCCACAUUGGGACUGAGAUACGGCCCAGACUGCUACGGGAGGCAGCAGUGGGGAAUAGUGCACAAUGGGCGGAAGCCUGAUGCAGCAACGCCGCGUGCUGGAUGACGGCCGGCGGGUUGUAAACCGCGUGCGCCUGUGACGAAGCGUGAGUGACGGUAAUGGGUAAAGAAGCACCGGCUAACUACGUG